AUGUUUUCAUAAGGCCAUCAGUCGCUGUAGAAAAUGUUGAACAUUUGAGGUGUAAGAAGGAUAGACAUUUGGUGCUUUUCAUGCCACAUUUCUCAACACCUGUACAUCUUGUGUUUGCAUAAAUUAUAACAUGGUAAUUGCAUAGCCAUUGUGGGCAGCCUAUACCUCAAAGUUGCUACCCUCAAAGUGCCACAGCAUGAACAGAAGACUUGUCUCACAGAAGUCAACAGUCAUUGAGGAGAUGCAUGUAGACAUGGAGCAGAACCCCUGUGUGGUGGGCUGCAGACUGCUUCCUCCAACCUCCCUGCCCCAUCCCCACACAAAAAGAU
rnacentral:lncRNA from 10 species